rnacentral:rRNA from 1 species
UGGCUCAGGACGAACGCUGGCGGCGUGCUUAACACAUGCAAGUCGAGCGAGGAACUUCGGUUCCUUGCGGCGGACGGGUGAGUAACACGUGGGCAACCUGCCUCACAAUGGGAGAUAGCCUUCCGAAAGGAAGAUUAAUACCCCAUAACACAAAGGAAACGCAUGUUUCUUUUGCCAAAGAAUUUCGUUGUGAGAUGGGCCCGCGGCGCAUUAGCUUGUUGGUGAGGUAACGGCUCACCAAGGCGACGAUGCGUAGCCGACCUGAGAGGGUGAUCGGCCACAUUGGAACUGAGACACGGUCCAGACUCCUACGGGAGGCAGCAGUGGGGAAUAUUGCACAAUGGAGGAAACUCUGAUGCAGCAACGCCGCGUGAGUGAUGAAGGUCUUCGGAUUGUAAAGCUCUGUCUUCUGGGACGAUAAUGACGGUACCAGAGGAGGAAGCCACGGCUAACUACGUGCCAGCAGCCGCGGUAAUACGUAGGUGGCAAGCGUUGUCCGGAUUUACUGGGCGUAAAGGAUGUGUAGGCGGAUAUUUAAGUGAGAUGUGAAAUCCCCGGGCUCAACUUGGGGGCUGCAUUUCAAACUGGAUAUCUAGAGUGCAGGAGAGGAAAGCGGAAUUCCUAGUGUAGCGGUGAAAUGCGUAGAGAUUAGGAAGAACAUCAGUGGCGAANGCGGCUUUCUGGACUGUAACUGACGCUGANGCAUGAAAGCGUGGGGAGCAAACAGGAUUAGAUACCCUGGUAGUCCAUGCCGUAAACGAUGAAU